CGCCGGUUCACCGGUUUUAACCGAGUUUGUCCGGUUCAUGCCGGUUCGCACCGGUUUGAUUGCAUGACCGAUCCAACAUACCAACCGAACCGGUUACCCAUCCGGUUCACGGUCGGACCGGUUCGACCAGCCGGUCCGGUCCGGUUUUCAAAACUAUGAUAAGAGGUAUAUAUCAUAUGGGAUAAUCAACCUAUCAUUGCUCUAUAGUUUGUAGUUGGAAUUUAAAUUUUGGAAGCU
rnacentral:lncRNA from 1 species